rnacentral:rRNA from 1 species
GAUGAACGCUGGCGGCGUGCCUAAUACAUGCAAGUCGAGCGAAUGGAUUAAGAGCUUGCUCUUAUGAGGUUAGCGGCGGACGGGUGAGUAACACGUGGGUAACCUGCCCAUAAGACUGGGAUAACUCCGGGAAACCGGGGCUAAUACCGGAUAACAUUUUGAACCGCAUGGUUCGCAAUUGAGAGGCGGCUUCGGCUGUCACUUAUGGAUGGACCCGCGUCGCAUUAGCUAGUUGGUGAGGUAACGGCUCACCAAGGCAACGAUGCGUAGCCGACCUGAGAGGGUGAUCGGCCACACUGGGACUGAGACGCGGCCCAGACUCCUACGGGAGGCAGCAGUAGGGAAUCUUCCGCAAUGGACGAAAGUCUGACGGAGCAACGCCGCGUGAGUGAUGAAGGCUUUCGGGUCGUAAAACUCUGUUGUUAGGGAAGAACAAGUGCUAGUUGAAUAAGCUGGCACCUUGACGGUACCUAACCAGAAAGCCACGGCUAACUACGUGCCAGCCGCCGCGGUAA